CAGUUUGGUCAAACUCAUGCUGGUAGCUUCGAGAACACUGUCCAACCAUCUUGUCCUCUGUUGCCCCCUUCUCCUUGUGCCCUCCAUCUUUCCCAACAUCAGGGUCUUUUCCAGGGAGUCUUCUCUUCUCAUGAGGUGGCCAAAGUCUUGGAGCCUCAGCUUCAGGAUCUGUCCUUCCAGUGAGCACUCAGGGCUGAUUUCCUUCAGAAUGGAGAGGUUUGAUCUUCUUGCAGUCCAUGGGACUCUCAAGAGUCUCCUCCAACACCAUAAUUCAAAAGCACCAAUUCUUCGGUGAUCAGCCUUCUUUAUGGUCAGCCCUGUUUAGGGAAGCUUUUAAUGUUUGAUGCAUUACUGUAUUUUAAUAUUUUGUUGGAAAGAAGGAAAAGAAAGAGUUUGGAUUUGAUACCCCGCUUUAUCACUACCUGAAGGAGUCUCAAAGCGGCUCACAUUCUCCUUUCCCUUCCUCACUCACAACAAACACUCUGUGAGGUGAGUGAGGCUGAGAGACUUCAGAGAAGUGUGACUGGCCCAAGGUCACCCAGCAACUGCAUGUGGAGGAGCGGAGACGCGAACCCAGUUCCCCAGAUUAGGAGUCCACCGCUCUUAACCACUACACCACACUGGUGUGGCUGGGGAAGCCCAGCCAGAUGGGCGGGGUAAUAAUAAUAAUAAUAAUCCUGGCAGAAGCUGCCACCUGCAUGGGGGCGCCUGGUUGCGCCCCUGGAAUUUUGCGCCGGGGCCAUGGCCUCCCUGGUCCCCACACCAUGCCACUGUCUCUGUGAUUUCUAAUUGUCUCUCCCUCCUGCCAUGCCUUUCUAAGUGCCUGAAGUCUUUAACAUUUCUGCUUGUGAAAAAACUCUCGAAGAAUUUCCUUGGCUUUUAUUUGAAUCCAGUCCAGGGUACAAGUACUUUUCAAGCAUUAGCAUAAUGUUAUCGGCCUUGUGCAUCAUGGACCUCUCACUCUCUCUCUCUUUCUUCUGGAAGUCUUUGAGGCUGCGGAUUCCUAAUUUAUCAGAUCUCGGAUCAGAGCGGUUGUCGGCCCAGGCAGCCGGGCUGAAGCUGUGAGAAUGUAAUUCUCCUCUUGUCAUCACUAUCGCGGGGGAAGAGAAGAGGUCGACCUGAGCUGCGAAACACCUUCCUCUCUCCUGAGGCCCUGAUGCUGAUAAACUGAAUGGUUUUCAUGACGCUCCAAACACUCUGAGUUUAAUGGAUCAGAAAUUAAAGCGACUCAGGAUGAGAAGCACGGCAGGGUCUCAGGGACUGUUGAACAAAGAUAAAAAAUUGGCUUUGUAAUUUCCGCCCCUGAUAAGUCUCUGAGCGUCUUGCCGGUGGAGGGGUUGGUGUUCCCUGGAGGGGUUUGCUUUGUGGGUUUGUUUUUGAGCAUCAAAUCCUCGCACACGGGGCAUCAGUUUGGAAGCUGCCCUUGAUGUCUGGGCGAGGAGAAUGGGAACCAAUCUAGCAGUGGAAAACUCCAAGGCCUGAAACUUUUGAAAAAGGCACACACUAUUUACCGUGAUAGACUGGAGAUGAACUUUCAAUGCUAAAGCUUUCUUCUUGACCCUGAAGCUGCCUGGCUACAGACCUGCAGGGCUUCCUUCUGUGACAUCAGAGCAGCUGAACCAAUGGCAGCCAGUGUUCCCAUGACGCUGCAAGCAAAUUUGCUUUGGGAAGAGAUGUAUUACUCAGACUGAACAGCCAGGCCACAGUCAGCAGUUGGGCGGGGUAUAAAUAUAUUAUUAUUAUUAUUAUUAUUAUUAUUAUACCACCUGCAGCCCUCUUGGCUUCCUUAAUUGUCUUCUCAUCACUGAGCUGAUGGCUGCAAUACCCUGUUGGGCCAUCUGCAGUGGGGGCGCUGCAGUCUAGCAGAGAGGAAGCGAGUCACACUUUCCCUCAGGCUGCUGUGCUGGUUGCUCAAGGCAAUUGGUAUCUUAUCCUACAAGGAAAUAGUAGUUUCCCAGCACAAUCGCUCCCUGUUCAACCCUCUGCCUCUAGUUGCUAUCUUGGCUGUGAGACCUGGAAGAACUGCUCUGUGCCUUGCUUACUUUUUUCCACCUAGCCUGAGAGGGCAGAGCUCAGACUGACUCCAGAACAGACUUUUGUGUUGGGAUCGUUGGGCGGGGGGAAUUGCUGCUGUUGUUGUUUACUUCUUUAUUUAAGAUCUUGUGGUUUAUGUGGCAAUCGUUUGGUUUCAUUUUGCAUUUUUAUUAUUUUUAUUGCAUUUUUAUUAUUUUUAUUGUUUAUUAAAUUUAUAUACUGUCAUUCAUAUGAGGAUUUCAGUUUUAUUUAUUUUCUGACUUUUGUUAUGUUGUGGUUAUGCAUUUUUUUUUCAUGCUCAAACUGCCCUGAGCAUGGUUUGAACUAUGGAAAGACAGCAUACAAUUAAAAUUAUGUAUGUAUGUAUUAUGCAUUGUUAUGAGUUUAUGGGUGCCAUACAUCCCUGUGUCAUCAGUUUUAGGCUCCCUGCAUUUCUGAGUGCCAGACACUGAACCCCUGGAUCUAGCAAAAGUAUAAACCAGACCAAUUUCCUGAUGAGGAAAUCACCUGGGGAUGAGCCAUUAGGAGAGCAAAAGGAAGGUGAUGAGCCAUUAAAAGGUAAAGGGACCCCUGACCAUUAGGUCCAGUCGUGACCGACUCUGGGGUUGCGCCGCUCAUCUCGCUUUAUUGGCUGAGGGAGCCAGCGUACAGCUUCCAGGUCAUGUGGCCAGCAUGACUAAGCCGCUUCUGGCGAAACCAGAGCAGUGCAUGGAAACAGAACUGCGCCCCUCCUUAAACUCAGGGUUAGUUAGAAGACAAAGGGAGAAUCUGAGGUAGAGUUUUAGAGAUGGCCAUGAUGGAAAAAGGUUGCAGGCUGUUGAAGGCAGCAAGCUGGAGAGAGGCUCAUAGUACAAUGUCUGGUAUCUGCUUGCAUCCAAGUCUGCACCUACGGGUGAAACAAGACCCUCUUGAACACCUCCAUCAUAGCCUCAGGUUGUAUAUACGUAUAAAUAAACCAUAUACAGUGGUGCCUCGCAAGACGAAAUUAAUUCGUUCUGCGAGUUUUUUCAUCUUGCGAGUUUUUUUGUCUUGCAAAGCAUGGUUUCAAUUUUUUCAAAAAAAUCUCCAAAAACCUUAAAAAGGGUUCCACACCGCGUGCUAUGAGUUGCUCCCUGAAGUCAAGUUGCAACUGCACCUCUUCAAGCAAUGCACCCUGUAUUACUGUAACGGUUUUAAGAAAAAGGAAACAAACUUGCAAGACGUUUCCGUCUUGCGAAGCAAGCCCAUAGGGAAAUUCGUCUCGCGAAGCAACUCAAAAAACCAAAAACUCUUUCAUCUUGUGAGUUUUUCGUCUUGAGAGGCAUUCGUCUUGCGAGGUACCACUGUAUCAUAAAGACACCACAGUCUUCUCUGUACCUGACUUCCAAAAGGCAGCAUAAACCCUGGGUAAGCCACGUUGGACUCCUGGAAUCUCUCAUGCUCAAAGAUUGGGGUGGCGUGCAGCAGUACGUAGGUCUGUAGUUGUGCCAGGUUCUGAGGAGUCCCUUUUUCUCAAACUCUUGCGAAAUUUGCCACGGCUACUUCCAUCAUUACAAAGGGACAUAUAAUAGAGGCAAUCAUGUUAAGCAUCUAGUCUUACGAAACAUUCCACCUGGACCUCUCAUCUCACAGAGAGAAAAGAAAAGAGAGUAAAUCUCUUUCAGGUAUAUUAAAAAAACUCACCAUUUCCCCCCCUUGCUGGAAGCACUAAAGCAAACAAGCAAACAAAAACCAUGUAGUAUUUGAUAGCCAAACUAUUCAAAGGCUUUAAUCUUGAGUCUUUUAUGCAGCUCUCAUGACUAUAGGAGGGAAAAAAUAAAGUCUCUCCCUCUUUUCCAGUUCCCUCUCCUCUGCCAAACGCAAAAUGUCUUCCAUGUGCACAGCAUUAGGAUUUCUAUAUGUAAUGAUUUUUGAUUUUUUAUUAUUGGGAACGGAUCCAGACUGCUUGUGGUGGGAGUCAGGAGGGAUGAGUGCAAUUAUUAGCAUGUUUUGAAAUCCUGCAUCCUCUGGGUUCUAUCCUGUUCUGAAGGAGGUUGAAUGGCUUUUUGAUUGGUAGAUAUAAUUGCCACUACAGUGGAACCUCGGUUUUCGAACGUAACCCGUUCCAGAAGACCGUUUGACUUCUGAAAGGAUCGAAAACCAAGGCACAAAGGACGGCCUGCAAUUUCAAUGGAGAAAAGGGGGGGGGGACUCAGCAGAAGCUGUUUGACUUCUGAGGCGCGUUCAGAAACAGAAGCAAUUGCUUCCGGGUUUUUGGUACUCGAAAACGGAAAUGUUCAGCUUCCGAGACGCUUGAAAACCGAGGUACCACUGUAAUUGGACACUUGAAAGAAGAAGACACUCCGAUGCCUGUCGUGGCUUUCUGGCUGAGGUUACCCCGGCAGUCUAUUAUCAAUCAUGAGAUGGUCCAAAUUCCUUUUCUGUACCCACCACAAUAUCCUCUGUGAGCCUCCUCAAGAGUAGGCCUUGGGUCGACGUAGGAUAGAAAGUUUGAGGAUCCCUGGCCCAUGGGGAGCCCAAAGAGUGGCUCAAGAGCUUUUCCCAUUUGCUCCAUCCCUAUGUGUACACCUAAGCUGUACAUCUGACCCUCCUGGUGCCAUAAUCUGCCCCACUGCCAACCUCCACCCCCCGAUCUGCAGAGCACAGCCUUGUGUUUCUUAGUUGUGGAUCCUGAGAUUCAGGGGGUUGAGCUUAGUCCCCACUGCUGGCUCACCCCACUGGGACGCUCCCCACCAAAAUAGUACCCCCCGGGACAUGCGCUGCUGCCUCUAGCUCCGCCUCUGCCUGUCCCUAUGGGCGCCCCCCAUCCCUAGCCCCUAUGGGAAGUUUGCCCCGCCCCUAUGGGUGGUUCACCCUGCCCCUGGGAGCACCACCCCAGAUGCCUGAGAGCCUUCCUCCACCACUGUCCACAACUUAUGAAAAGUCUAGGUCACAGGGGUCAGCAAACAUUUUCAGCAGGGGGCCGGUCCACUGUCCCUCAGACCUUGUGGGGGGUCGGACUAUAUUUUUUUUUGGGGGGGGGGAGAAUGAAUUCCUUGCCCCACAAAUAACCCAGAGAAGCAUUUUAAAUGAAAGGACACAUUCUACUCAUGUAAAAACACGCUGAUUCCCGGAGCGUCCGUGGGCCAGAUUUAGAAGGUGAUUGGGCAGGAUCCGGCCCCUGGGCCUUUGUUUGCCUACCCAUGGUCUAAGACCAUGUAAGCAUUCCACUGCAGCCUCCCAGCUUCUCCUUUACUCCAUGUGUUGAGCUGAUUUCUCGAAGAAAAGGGGAGGGGGAAUUGCUGGGGAUUUUGCACAAGCUGAGCAGCAGAACUCACAACAUUUUGAAAGAUGCCGUUGAUAAAGUCCAAAGGAACCUGCAGAGUGUGGGGGAAUGUUGCCUCGUGUGUGACAGAGGAAGAUAUUUGUUGAAAAUGCCUGCCUCUAAUCUCUUUCUCUUCAUGUCCUUUUGUUCAGCUGUGGACUCUUCGUCCCGAUAAGGCAUUGCUGGAAGUUGAGCAUUUCUCUCCCUCCGUCUGUCUUCCAUUUUAAUUUUAAAUGAAGCACACGCAGGGGAAAGUGGAUCUUAGCCGGCUGCAGGAAGCUAUUACAGGCUGGAGAACUUUACUAGGUAGAAAAGGGAGACUUCUUGACUGGUGAAUUAAAUGCCCAAGUUUAAGUUGGGGAAGAUCCUGAGGGGCACGUUCUGCAGUACAUGGUCAGCCCAUGUGGCAUGCUGGUUGGAUAUGGUAAAAGGUAAAGGUAAAGGACCCCUGGAUGGUUAGGUCCAGUCAAAGGCGACUUUGGGGUUGUGGCGCUCAUCUCACUUUCAGGCUGAGGGAGCCGGUGUUUGUCCACAGACAGCUUUCCAGGUCAUGUGGCCAGCAGGACUAAAACGCUUCUGGCGCAAUGGGACACCGUGACAGAAACCAGAGUGCAUGGAAACACUGUUUACCUUCCUGCCACAGUGGUACCUAUUUAUCUACUUGCACUUUGAUGUGCUUUUGAACUGCUAGGUUGGCAGGAGCUGGGACAGAGCAACGGGAGCUCACCCCAUCGUGGGGAUUCGAACUGCCGACCUUCUGAUCACCAAGCCGAAGAGGCUCAGUGGUUAAGACCACAGCGCCAGCAGGCUCUUCUUAGAUUCUCACAUUCUUGUUAGGUAGUGAGGAGGUCAGUGCAGUGCAAACACACUGGCAGACCCAUUCUGCCACAGCGGUACCUAUUUAUCUAGUUGCACUGGCAUGCCUUCAAACUGCUAGGUUGGCUGGAGCUGGGACAGAGCAAAUGGGAGCUCACCCCAUUGUGGGGAUUCGAACCCCCGACCUUCUGAUUGGCAAACCCAAGAGGCUCAGUGGUUAAGACCACAGCGCCACCUGCAUUCCAUCCUCGCACACCAGAGCCUCCUUUCCCUGCCUGGGUAAGGCUUGACCUGGGAGUGGAGCUGCUUUGGUUGACAGCCUCCCUCUGCUGUGGCCGAGCUGAUCAUGGUGCAGCCCAGUUGAGGAGAGGGGCAGCAGCUCUCUGCAGCCAACACUCCACUCUGCCCCCAGGAUCAGACAUGACCCAGGAGCAGAACUGCAGCAGAGCUUGCAGCUGGGCACAAGGAAGCUGUCUUGGCAACUCCCUCACAUACCAGAGCCAGACUCUGAUGGGAGCCUGUUGUGGGUGUGCCUGGUUGUGCUUCCUCCAGAAAAUGUGUGACCCCCCCAAGCUACAGGACUGAGAAGAGCUCUGCUGGAACAGGCCUAGUGGGGCUCAUCUAGCUUAGCAUUCUGUUCUCACAUUGGCCAACCAGGUGCAUGUGGGAAACCCGCAAACAGGAUCCAAGCACAAGAGCAACUCUCCCCUCCUGCAGUUUCCAGAAACUGGUGUUCAGAAGCAUUGCUGCUUCCAACAGAGCGUAGCCAUCCUGGCUAGUGGCCAUCAAUAGCCCUCUCCUCCGUGAAUCUAUCUAAUCCUCUUUUAAAAGUACCUAGAUUUGUGGCCAUCCCUGCUUCCUGAGCCAGGGAGUUCCUAAGUUUAUGUGCUAUCUGAAGAAGUCCUUUCUUUUGCCUUUUCUGGAUCCUCCAGAUUCCAGCCUCAUGGGAUGUCCAUGGGGUCUAAUGUUGUGAGAGGAACACAAUCAUUCCUCGAAUCCUACUUGUGGGUUUCCCAUGAGGGCAUCGUGCUGGCCACCGUGGGAACAGGAUGUUGGGAUACUGCCAGGGAGACAAAGACCAUCAUGCUUCCACGUCGUCUCCGGACAAGCAUUGGUUUCCCAUGGAAGCAGCAUCAGUCAAUUAACGACACGAGCCUCAGACCCAUUCCAAGACUCAUGCAAGCCCUUUUCGCAGAGUUUCCACAACGGAAUAUUCACCCAGGAGAGCAUAAUUACAGCUUUAUUCAACGUUGGUCAGAAAAAAAGAAAAACAUGACUGCUUGCUUCCGUGUCGAGGAAAAACAGCCAGAACAAUAGCUAUAUACAAAACGGAAACUCCCUGUGAGCAGGAAGUACACAGGCAUGUGACACACAACAGCCUGUUCCCUUUUUAAGGAGGAACGGAAAUAUCCUAUCACAGGAUGCUGGAUUAGUUGGGCUGCUGGCCUGAUCCAGCAGGCUCUUCUUAUAUUCUCACAUUCUUGUUAAGGUAGUGAGGAGGUCAGCGCAGUGCAAACACACUGGCAGACCCAAUCUGCCGCUCCUGCUGGUGUGUUUGCAUCUUGCUGACCUCCCCACCACCUCCCCAUCCCCUGUCCCCCAGUAAGAAACAGCAACCCAUUCACAGGGAAGCUGCCAUAAUGGCCUCCUCUCCCAGUGAGCCACUUCCAGCUGAGUGGCGAGUCUCAAGAGUGCCCUUUCACCUUCUGGGUGUUCCUUUAUGAAUAUGCCCUGCUCAUUCUUCCUUCACGGCUUCUAGGGUCUGACCCAGCUGGGGCUGAUGCAAAUUGCCAUUAUUAUUUUCCCAUUUUUUCACCCAGGGUGGUCACAGGGUGUGUUACACUAAUGAAAACCCAAUAUCAAAAACAAUUUAAAAUAACUGUACAUAAUAGUAAUAGGGCAGUUCCUGAAAAUACACAUCCCAAGUGUCAAAAGCCAGGGUAAAGAUGUGUUUCUUCAGCAUUUGCCAGAAGCUAUACAAUGAAAGUGCCAGAUGGACCUCUGUGGGGAGGGAGUUACGCAUCUUAGGGGCCACCACAGAGAAGGUCCUCUCCUAAGCCAACCCUUCACCGGGCUUCUGAGGGUCUCCACUACUGAUCUCAGCAUCUGAGAAGGUCUGCAGGGAAGGAGGCAGUCUUUCAGGUAUUUUCAGCUCCACCUGGUACACAGGAUGAGACCCUACCUGCCCGCAGAUUGUCUCACCAGAGUGGUGCAUGCUCUAGUUAUCUCCCGCUUGGACUACUGCAAUAUGCUCUACGUGGGGCUGCCUUUGAAGGUGACCUGGAAACUGUAAUUAAUCCAGAAUGCGGCAGCUAGACUGGUGACUGGGAGUGGCCACCGAGACCACAUAACACCGGUCCUGAAAGACCUACAUUGGCUCUCAGUACUUUUCCAAGCACAAUUCAAAGUGUUGGUGCUGACCUUUAAAGCCCUAAAUGGCUCCGGUCCUGUAUACCUGAAGGAGCGUCUCCACCCCCAUCAUUCUGCCCGGACACUGAGAUCCAGCCCCGAGGGCCUUCUGGCGAUUCACUCAUUGCGAGAAGUGAAGUUACAGGGAACCAGACAGAGGGCCUUCUCGGUAGUGGCACCCACCCUGUGGAAUGCCGUUCCUUCAGAUGUGAAGCAAAUAAGCAGUGAUCUUCUUUUUAAAAGACAUCUGAAGGCAGCCCUGUUUAGGGAAGUUUUUAAUAUUUAAUGCUGUAUUGUUUUUAACACUCAAUUGGAAGCCGCCCAGAGUGGCUGGGAAAACUCAGCCAGAUGGGAGGGGGCAUAAAUAGAUUAUUAUUAUUAUUAUUAUUAUUAUUAUUAUUAUUAUUAUUAUGGGCCUGAGGCAUUUAGGGCUGUGAACACUCAUGUGAGCACCUUGAAUUGGACCCGGAAAUGCAACCAAUGCAGCCUUUUUUAAAAAGGGGUUAUGUGAGAUCUUAAUGGCCGCUGCAUUUUGAACCAACUCAAGUAUCCGAGUCGUCUUCAAGGGAAGGCCCACGUAAAGCACAUUGCGACAAUCCAGCUGCCGUCCCCAAACAGCUGGAGGGCACCAGGUUGGAGAACGCAAGCAGACCUUGCAUGGCGUGAGGAACUGGCAGGGAUCCAGCUACGAGCGUGGGGCUUGAAAAGGUUUUGUUGUUUAUUGGGAGAAGUUGACAAGCUUUCCUCUUAUUUAUCAGGAGGGGAGGGGAGGAGGGGGCCAGUAUCUUGAGGCCCAAGGAGAGACAGGUUGUCACUGAUCUGCAACAAAACAAGGAAGGGACAAUUAUAUUGUCUGAAGCCAAGCGAGAUGCAUUAGCAUUUUGGCAUUUAGAUGCGAACUGUUAUCUGUGCCUCAAUUGUUAAUUAAAAGCAGUUCUGGUCCUGAUUCCUUCUCUGCCUGGGCUCUUUGCUGGUUCCUCCACUGUUAUUUAUGGCCAUUCUUUUCUCCCGCCUGCCCCCCUCUCCGCUGCCCACAACUGGAGUGCCUCGGCCGUCCUUCUGUGGGGAAAGAGAGAGGAGGCCGAAGGAAUGGGGAAGAGAGGGACUUGCACGUAGCCCGCCUUGUCUCCCACGAGCACUUGUGGGACCCGAGGCUCCGUGUCAAGCAGAUAAGAGCCGGCAAAAGGGGAGAGGACAAAACGAAACAAAACACCCGAGCGGUUGUCGUUGCCGUCACAAUGAAGCGCUAUCCUGGGGGCGCAGGACGCUAAUCGCUGCCAAGUGUGGCACUCAGAUAACAAUGCCCACUUCAGCUCAGCAACGGGCAUGGAUCUAUUCAGACUCCAAAACAAAAACACAAAUGCACACAUAUACACAUUGAGUUUCAAGGCAGAGGAUGAUAUCCCAGAUUCCAAAUUAGGCAGGGAUACAGCCUCCCCCCUCCCAACAGAAGUGGCCUUCUGUCCUAAUUUCUAGAGGCCGACCCGCUAGGUCAGGGGUCAGAAAACUUUUUCAGCAGGGGGCCGGUCCACUGUCCCUCAGACCUUGUGGGGGGCUGGACUAUUUUUUUUGGGGGGGGGGAAAUGAACGAAUUCCUAUGCCCCACAAAUAACCCAGAGAUGCAUUUUAAAUAAAAGCACAUGUUCUACUCAUGUAAAAACACCAGGCAGGCCCCACAAAUAACCCAGAGAUGCAUUUUAAAUAAAAGGACACAUUCUACACAUGUAAAAACAUGCUGAUUCCCGGACCGUCCUCAGACCGGAUUUAGAAGGUGAUUGGGCCGGCCAGAUCCGGCCCCCAACAUUGAUGCCGAAAUCCAGUACCGCCUGAGCUCUGCGAGUGCGGCUUUCUCCCGAUUGAAGUGCAGAGUGUUUGAGGGCCAGGACAUUUGCAGAGAAAUCAAAAUGCUUGUUGACAAAGCUAUUGUACUGCCAACCUUACUGUAUGCUUGUGAAACAUGGACCACUUACAAAUGCCAUCUCCAACUCCUCGAAAGAUUCAAUCAAUGGUGUCUCCGAAAAUUUUAAACAUCACUUGGGAAGACAGGUGAACUAAUACCAGUGUACCGGAAGAAGCAAAGAUCACCAGUGUUGAAGCAAUGAUUCUUCAACAUUCUUCAACUUUGUUGGACUGGUCAUGUUGUGCAGUUGCCUGAUGAUCGUCUUCCAAAGCAACUACUCUAUUCCGAACUUAAAAAUGGAAAGCGUAAUGCUGGUGGUCAACAAAAGAGGUUUAAAGACUGUCUCAAGGCAAAUCUAAAAAAAUGUAGUAUAAACACCAACAACUGGGAAACACUGGCCUGCGAGCGCUCCAGUUGGAGAACAGUCUUUACCAAAGGUGUCAUGGGCUUUGAAGAUGCCUAAACUCAGGAUGAAAGGGAGAAACGUGCUAAGAGGAAGACAUGCUUGGCAAACCCUCACCGUGAUCAACUCCUGCCCGGAAAUCUCUGUCCCCACUGUGGAAGGACGUGUUGAUCCAGAAUUGGCCUCCACAGUCACUUACGGACUCAUUGUUAAAAUCAUGUUUAUGGAUGACAAUCUUACUCGGCUAUGAGUGAUCGCCAAAGAAGAAGAAGAAGAACAUGUGCUAGGUGCUAGGUGUUCCUAAUCUGUAGGGCUCAUUGUGAAGACUUGAUCAGGCAUUCUUCUUCUGCUUUCAAAUAUAUAUAAAAAUUUCACACCCGAGCCUCCAUAUACUCUCAGGGAAGAGGGGUCUGUCCUCCUCUGCGUCCUCCUCCCCUCUCCCAAUUAACCUCCAUCUCUAUGGCUCAGUAGUGGGAGGGAGUGCAGAGUUAGGAUCACCAGCGGCCUCCCCCCCCAUGUGGCAUUGCCAAGGUGCCACCCCUAGGUCUCAGGUUUGGGCCCUGAAAUCUCAGGAUUUGGGGUGCUCCUGUACAUCACUUGGCAGCCCUCAUGUCAAUCCUAUGCAGACUGCCAGACCUAGGCUGGGCACAGACUGAAUUGUGAACAUGGAGGAGAAAAGCCCUUUAGAGCUGCUGUAUUUGCCAUCUCUUGGAAUAAAAAUUGGGGUCAGCGCAGGCUCCAGCUUUGAAGUGCCCCCCAAAAGUAACCUCUAGUUGGAUCCUUCCAACCCCACGUGGUAAAAUGUAUUCCUUUUCAUUUCAUAGUUGUUGAAAUAAAAAAUUUAAGGUCACACACACACACACACACACACACACACACAUAAUGUUCAUAAAUGCACCAACCAAGCAUGUACAUCGCUAUAUAAACCACAUGUCUGAAACCCCACAGAAAGUCCUGAAACCAUUUUGUGCCUCCCAAAUUGACCUCAAACAAGGUCAAAAGAAAAUGGAAAAGCCUCCCCAUUGUCUUUUCCUUCACAAAUCCUGUCUUAAGGGUAUGUCUGUGUAUGAAUAGGGUGAGCCUGUGACCUGGCUCAGGAACUAAGUAUUUAUUAUUACAAAAGACUGGCCAGGCUCCCCAGGGUAUCCAAUCAAGUAAGCAUUAGCAGGUAACCUGCCAGAUAGGAGAUAAACAACACACUCAGAUUUCUGUUGUAGACCGCCCUUUCUGUGAUGUAGGUAUGAUGUGUCUGGGGGGUGGUCUUGAGCUACACCCCUUCUGUGAUGAAUGUAUGAUGUUUCUGGGGGUGGUCUUGGACUCCAAGGUGGGCAAUUUAAAAUGUCUAUAUAAGGGUGGACACACCUUGGUUCUGGGUCCUCCUCCUUCUCCUGCGUGUGGUGAGUGAGGACCCUGUUGCAACAGUUCAAUAAAGAUAAGGCUUACAAGCUGCUUUGCUUCUCAACAUUCUCUGGUUGGCCUCAGUUAUUUUCUCCAGCCGAUGGAGAACCUACAAAGGACUCUAUAAGGGCUCUUGUGUCCCAUAAGGGAAUAAGGGCAGAUUUUUGUUUAUUACAGAGUCAUUUCUAAAAUUAUAACUAUCCUUCUCAAUUAGCUUAUCUUUUUUUUAUGCAGAUCUGUGCCUUCCUUUGUCAUCAUCAUCAUCAUCAUCAUCAUUAUUUUGCAAGGCGUCAGUUGCUACCCUACUCCUGUUCCAUAGCUAGGGGUUUGUCCACCCUGUCUCCAAGGUCUUAAUAUUCCUCUAAUGAGGCAUCACCGAAAUGACAGAUCCUCUCCCCGCAUUUUUUUUAAAAUAGUCUUCAAGAAAAGGCAAAACAGCCUUCAGAUGUAAUUGCCAUGAGUUUUUAUGGCCCUAAAAGGAGCAGUAAGAUAGGAUUAGUCUUAGUUAAGGGUGACUCACCCUUCUAUCUGUUUCAGAUUGAAACAAAUGACAAUGUUUGCUUUUGAUUAUUAGAUUAGCCAUAUUGAAAUCCUUAUUAGGGGCUUAUGAUUGGGGUGGGUGGGUCGGUCGGGGAGAGGAAUGCUUCUGUGUGGUGCCUGCAGAACAGCAAGUACUCUAGGCAUGCCUUAUCACGACGUGGGGGUAUCCCUACUCCGCUGAAGCUGUGACAGAGUGUUACCAUUGUUGCUGUCGUUUAGUAGUGUCCGCCUCUUCGUGACCCCCUGGACCAGAGCACGCCAGGCCCUCCUGUCUUCCACUGCCUCCCGCAGUUUGGUCAAACUCCUGUUCGUAGCUUCGAGAACACUGUCCCGCCAUCUCGUCCUCUGUCGUCCCCUUCUCCUUGUGCCCUCCAUCUUUCCCAGCAUCAGGAUCUUUUCCAGGGAGUCUUCUCUUCUCAUGAGGUGGCCAGAGUCUUGGAGCCUCAGCUUCAGAAUCUGUCCUUCCAGUGAGCACUCAGGGCUGAUUUCCUUCAGAAUGGAUAGGUUUGAUCUUCUUGCAGUCCAUGGGACUCUCAAGAGUCUCCUCCAGCACCAGAAUUCAAAAGCAUCAAUUCUUCGGCGAUCAGCCUUCUUUAUGGUCCAGCUCUCGCUUCCAUACAUCACUACUGGGAAAACCAUAGCUUUAACUAUACGGACCUUUGUUGGCAAGGUGAUGUCUCUGCUUUUUAG